rnacentral:rRNA from 1 species
UACGAAGGGGACUAGCGUUGUUCGGAAUUACUGGGCGUAAAGGGCGCGUAGGCGGUACUUCAAGUCAGGCGUGAAAGCCCCGGGCUCAACCUGGGAACCGCGCUUGAGACUGGAGAACUAGAGUUCGGGAGAGGAUGGUGGAAUUCCCAGUGUAGAGGUGAAAUUCGUAGAUAUUGGGAAGAACACCGAUGGCGAAGGCAGCCAUCUGGACCGACACUGACGCUGAGGCGCGAAAGCGUGGGGAGCAAACAGG